rnacentral:miRNA from 1 species
AUGUGAUUAUGUGAUAAGUGU